rnacentral:rRNA from 1 species
CCCUUAGAUGUUCUGGGCUGCACGCGCGCUACACUGAAUCUAUCAACACGUUUUCCCUCCCUGAGAAGGGCGGGUAACCUUUUGAAUCAGCUUCGUGGUAGGGAUCGGGGCUUGCAAUUGUUCCCCGUGAACCAGGAAUUCCUAGUAGACGCGAGUCAUAAGCUCGCAUCGAUUAAGUCCCUGCCCUUUGUACACACCGCCCGUCGCUACUACCGAUUGAACGUUUUAGUGAGGCAUUUGGACCGACGCAUCUCAGUUUAACCGCUGGUUUGUGUUGGAAAGACUUCCAAACUUGAGCGUUUAGAGGAAGUAAAAGUCGUAACA